rnacentral:rRNA from 1 species
UACGAAGGGGGGCUAGCGUUGCUCGGAAUCACUGGGCGUAAAGGGUGCGUAGGCGGGUCUUUUAAGUCAGAGGUGAAAGCCUGGAGCUCAACUCCAGAACUGCCUUUGAUACUGAGGAUCUCGAGUUCGGGAGAGGUGAGUGGAACUGCGAGUGUAGAGGUGAAAUUCGUAGAUAUUCGCAAGAACACCAGUGGCGAAGGCGGCUCACUGGCCCGAUACUGACGCCUGAGGCACGAAAGCGUGGGGAGCAAACAGGG